rnacentral:rRNA from 1 species
CCUACGGGAGGCAGCAGUAGGGAAUAUUGGGCAAUGGGCGGAAGCCUGACCCAGCCACGCCGCGUGCAGGAAGACGGCCCUCUGGGUUGUAAACUGCUUUUGACUGGGAAGAAAGAAGCCCAUGCGUGGGAAGUUGACGGUACCAGUCGAAUAAGCCACGGCUAACUACGUGCCAGCAGCCGCGGUAAUACGUAGGUGGCAAGCGUUAUCCGGAUUUAUUGGGUUUAAAGGUGCGUAGGCGGUUUAAUAAGUCAGUGGUUAAAGGUAGCAGCUUAACUGUUUUACAUGCCACUGAUACUGUUGAACUUGAGUUGACAGAAGGCAGAUAGAAUUUCUGGUGUAGCGGUGAAAUGCUUAGAUACCAGAAGGAAUACCGAUUGCGAAGGCAGUCUGCUGCAGUCACACUGACGCUGAGGCACGAAAGUGCGGGGAUCAAACAGGAUUAGAUACCCUGGUAGUCCGCACAGUAAACGAUGAUUACUAGAUGUUGGUCGAGAGCAGUGUCGAACGGAACCGGAACGUAAGUAAGUACCGACCGUACGGGUAGGUACGGACCGGCCGUAACGGUAGUAAACGUUACGAAAGUAAAGUUAGUUACGGCGUUGAGACGNGCGACGGACGACGACGAGGGAGGAGG